UUGUAAAACUGUAGUUUGUGGACAGUCACCAAGAAAAUGAUAUCGACUUCUGAGUUACGUUGCAUGACGGUUGAAAAUCAGAUAAAACAAAUAUUUUCUAGAUACAGUAUAUCGCACUACCCCGUGACGCCGUAGAGGUGACAGAUAACGAAACAAGUGGGUUUACACUAUUGAGUGGAUAAAGCCGACCCAUUAAGACUAAGGCCCGUAUUCUAUAGUUUAUGAGUGCAUAAAUACAUUUGUCAAUCCACGAUCGAUAUCAACCAAAACGGCCCAGAUUCAUUAUCAGUAGCAUUCCUCUAGUUCCCUUUACUGGUAGCUCCAAGUACUUUAUUCUACUACAAGUCUACAACAAAACACACUGAGAUACUUCUUGUCUUAUAUCUGUAUAUUUUUAAAUUAUGCAUAUGUGGGUUUGAUGGUACAACAAGUAAGUGGUAGAUCUGGCAAAACAUUGCUAGAGUUGAGUGGGAACAAUGCAAUCAUAGUCAUGGACGAUGCUGAUAUACAGUAACUGCUCGUUCUGUUCUUUUUGAUGCUGUUGGAACCUGAUGUAGGAACCUGAUGUAGCGCAUAUCAUUAAGCUUUGGUUUUCUAGUUUCCUUUUCUAUGUUAGUUGGUUUUUCCUUUUGCACGUAGAUUUUGGUUAUACUUCAUAGCCGACUAGGACCUUAUUCAUUAUAUAUAGUUUUUUAUCGGGUUUGUGAGAGAUACAACUUUUAAUUAUUGAUUUAGAAAAUUUAGAGUGUUGCGUUAAAUAAUUCUUGAAUUUUUAUUUUUGGGCAUUCUCUAAGAAUUCAAUAAACUAAAAAGGCUAAGUCAGGCAUUUUUAAAAUUCAACGUUACCUUCGCAUUAUCGGUUACUCCAUCAGAAACGCCGGCCAACGUUGCACAACUUGCCGUAGGCUGGUACUAAAGAAUCUGAUCCUCUACUGUUCCUUUUGCUGAAUGGUUUAAAAGUGUUUUUUUCUUUAUUGUCUUAAGCCUUUUGCAUGUGAGUGUGUAUGACAAAGUACUUGAGCAACUCCUUACUUCAUACAAACAAGUCAAGAUCGGUGAUCCUCUUCAAAAAGGGACGUUGUUAGGACCAUUACAUACUCCUGAAUCGAGGAAGAACUUUAAGAAAGGAAUCGAAGUCAUCAAAUCCCAGGCAAGUACCUCAAGUCCAAAGAGUUCUUUAAACAUUUUCAACUUUCAGCUAACCCUUUUGCAUUCACAGGGUGGUAAAGUACUAACCGGCGGUAAAGCAAUAGAAGGUGAAGGAAACUUUGUGGAGCCUACGAUACUUGAGAUAUCAUCAGAUGCUGUUCUUGUUAAAGAAGAGCUGUUUGCUCCGGUUCUAUAUGCUCUAAGGUUUAAGUCAUUUGAAGAAGCAAGUAGCGAUAAACAACUCGAUUCCUCAAGGUCUAAGCAGCUCCAUAUUCACACGUAAACCUAAAAACAUCUUUAAGUGGAUAGGACCAAUGGGAAGUGAUUGUGGGAUAGUGAAUGUGAACAUACCGACGAAUGGAGCUGAGAUAGGAGGUGAUUUUGGAGGUGAGAAAGCGACUGGUGGUGGUCGUGAAACUGGUAGUGACUCUUGGAAGCAAUAACGAUUUCUCUCUCUCUGUUUUGAUUUAAUAGAUUUUCCGGUUUAAGUUUUUUGAUUGGUUAAACCGGUUUAUCUUUUGACAGUACCUCUAGCGCAAGGAAUUGAUAGAGAUAGAUGACAUCAGAUUGCUGUCCGUUCUUGAUCAACGGCAAAGGUAGCCAAGAUUUUUAGCGGACGUCCGAGUUUCAAGCAGGUUGCUCAUAACACUUCUCACUGCCCAACAAUUGACAAACUUAUUAUAAUCCUUUGGUUAUAAUAACCCAUAGGCCAACAACAUAGAAUUGGCUUCUUUGGAACAAGGAAUAUGGCAUGGACAAACAAUACGUCUUGUUUCAAUCUCACACCAAUCUUAAGAUGCUGAUUCUUUGUAGAUGUGUAUACAAAUUUCUGUUUGUAGACCUCUUUGUGUACAUAAUAAACAAUAACUACCCAAGUGAAAGAUUUAUUUCUUUGUCAAUACUAUAAUAAUAGAGUUAUUCUUCCCACCUUUAAUAAACCAAACUUCUCUCAUCAGUUUCGUUUAAACAAGACCACCGUUCUGGUGGCCGGUGACUUUAGUCGCCGGUUACCAUCUCUUUUUGUUGUAUAAUAUCUUCGAUCAUUAGAUCGACUUAGUUUUCCGGUUAGCGGAUUUUCUUUUUCCGGUUGCGGAUCUUUUGCUCGCUUUGGCGAUUGUAUUAUAGUUUUUUUUCUGCUUCUCUUCUCUUUGUGAACUUCUAUUCCGAUCAACCAUGGAAGCUUUGAUUCUAUUUGCUGGUUAUGCUCUGUUUUAUUUUGAAAUAGGAAUCAAUCUUUGCUCUGACUCACAAGCAAAGUCUCCUUGUUGAUAAAGAACAGAGAUGAUAGUUGAAGCAGUGGGAAGAUUCAGCACAGAUUCAGAUAAGGCGGAGUCUGUAAAAGACGUUCCGAUAAGGAUUUGUUGCUAUCUCCUUGAAGCUUCUCUCAAAGUUCACCUCUGGUAAAUUGAAGAAGAACUUCCAGGGAUUGACGGUGAUCAAGAGUUGUAGAAGCAAGCAAGUGGAACAAACUAUCCGGAGAGAGAGACCGGUGGAUUCGUACCGACAUGUAGCCGGCGAACCAUGGAUCAAUCUCACCGUUUCCAGAAAAUUCGAAGUUCCUGCAUAUGCUACACGUGUCUUGCAUUAAGUUAAUAUUAUCUUCUUAGCUUGGGCUUCAUAUUGGGCUUAAUUUCAAUUUUGUAAGGGAAUGGUUUGUCUACUUGUAAUGGGUUUUCGUUUAAUAAAACGAAAUGG